UGCAGGCCAGAUUUGGCCCAUGGGGUGGUUAGAUCUGGCCCAUAGGGCUGCCCCAGAAACAGUAAAGGACUGGCCCAUGGUGCCUCUGCCAGAGAAAACA
rnacentral:snoRNA from 1 species